rnacentral:rRNA from 1 species
UACAGAGGUCCCGAGCGUUGUUCGGAUUCAUUGGGCGUAAAGGGUGCGUAGGCGGCUUCCUAAGUUUGAUGUGAAAUCCUGGGGCUCAACCCUGGAACUGCAUUGAAUACUGGGAGGCUAGAGUACUGGAGAGGAAACUGGAAUUUACGGUGUAGCAGUGAAAUGCGUAGAGAUCGUAAGGAAGACCAGUGGCGAAGGCGGCUAUCUGGAUGAGUAUUGACACUGAGGCUCGAAAGCGUGGGGAUCAAACAGG